rnacentral:rRNA from 1 species
GAUGAACGCUGGCGGCGUGCCUAAUACAUGCAAGUCGAGCGAACGGACGAGAAGCUUGCUUCUCUGAUGUUAGCGGCGGACGGGUGAGUAACACGUGGAUAACCUACCUAUAAGACUGGGAUAACUUCGGGAAACCGGAGCUAAUACCGGAUAAUAUUUUGAACCGCAUGGUUCAAAAGUGAAAGACGGUCUUGCUGUCACUUAUAGAUGGAUCCGCGCUGCAUUAGCUAGUUGGUAAGGUAACGGCUUACCAAGGCAACGAUGUAUAGCCGACCUGAGAGGGUGAUCGGCCACACUGGAACUGAGACUCGGUCCAGACUCCUACGGGAGGCAGCAGUAGGGAAUCUUCCGCAAUGGGCGAAAGCCUGACGGAGCAACGCCGCGUGAGUGAUGAAGGUCUUCGGAUCGUAAAACUCUGUUAUUAGGGAAGAACAUAUGUGUAAGUAACUGUGCACAUCUUGACGGUACCUAAUCAGAAAGCCACGGCUAACUACGUG